GCGGAUUAAUUUUUUCACCGACCUUGACAUUGGUAGAAACAGCUGACUGGCAUUUCACUAGGAACUAUUCAACACCAUGUUUUCUGUUUGUUUUUCAUUUGCAGACACAUGGAACUAAAGAGAAAAGAAUUAAACAUCUGGUUCAGUUCAAGGGGACGGUACAGUCUAUUAGUCAAAAGGUCAGGGUGUACAUCCAUGUUAUCUGGUACAGAGUAAUCAUCAGACAGUGUUCUAGUCUCAGCCAAGCUGCGAAGUGGUACAGCAUUGGUGUCAGUACCAUCAACAUCUUUAAAGAAUUAAACAUCUGGUUCAGUUCAAGGGGACGGUACAGUCUAUUAGUCAAAAGGUCAGGGUGUACAUCCAUGUUAUCUGGUACAGAGUAAUCAUCAGACAGUGUUCUAGUCUCAGCCAAGCUGCGAAGUGGUACAGCAUUGGUGUCAGUACCAUCAACAUCUUUAAAGGUAAA